UUUUUCAUCCGUCAGUGAAUCAGAUGCCCACGAGUCAUCACAACCCUCCCCUCCCUUCCCCGAGACCGGUCGUCGCCUGGAGGGAAAGCAUAAGAGGACGGAGGGGAAAAGAGGGCCGGAGAGGUGCCAUCUCCCGUUCAAACCCCCCAGAAAACCCUAGAAUAGAAGACACCUCGAGAGAGGACCAAAGUCCUCCAUUGCGAGAUCGCCUCACCACCCGGGUUUAGGGGUUUUGAGAAGGAAAGGAGGGAAAGAGAGAGAGACAGAGGUAGAGAUGAACUUUAAGAACGUUAAGGUGCCGACUCCCGGCUCGGGGGCGGGGACGCUGCUGAAGGUCGUGCUCUUCGGCGGCGCCGCCGUCUACGGCGCUCUCAAUAGCCUCUACAACGUCGAGGGUGGCCACCGGGCCAUCGUCUUCAAUCGCAUCCAAGGCAUCAAGGAAAAGUUUGAUCUUGAAGGGCACAAUGAAAAUUAUCUAUCUCACAUGGUGUGAAGGCAAGCAAUCCUGGGUCGCUUGGCAUGGAUGCCAAUUACCUAGGAAUUCCAAGUGGUACAUCAAAAAAAAAAGGGACUCCAAGACACUUAUA